rnacentral:rRNA from 1 species
UACGAAGGUCCCGAGCGUUGUUCGGAAUCACUGGGCGUAAAGGGAGCGUAGGCGGCAUGGUAAGUCAGAUGUGAAAUCCCGGGGGCUUAACUUGGGAAUUGCGCUCGAAACUACUUUGCUGGAGUGUGGCAGAGGAAGGUGGAAUUCCACGUGUAGCGGUGAAAUGCGUAGAGAUGUGGAGGAACACCAAUGGCGAAGGC